GCGCUUGACUCCCCCGCCGCCCCUUCCCGUCCCCACCCCGACGCCGUCCGCUCCCCAUCCACCAUCCCAGCGCGAUGGCUGGGAGGACCGCGCCCGCCUCCCUCCCCUCCUUCUCCCUCACGCCCGACUCCCUCGCUGCCCCUUUAUCCUGGAUCUCGUCAUGGACGCUACCACGACCAACGGUUCGACGGAGCAGGCGCCGCACUCUGCGCCACGGGACGGAGCCCGUCCCCACCCGACACCGGCCACCUCCACCCCGAGCUCCUCCGAGAAGUGAGUGAUUUCCAUUUCUUCGAUUGGAUGACGCGCGGUCGGGCCUCCGCACCUCUCUGUCCCCCUCCCCUCCCGCGGCGACAGCUUCCUCUAGGAGAUGAGCGCGCCCGCCCCCGCGCGCACCACCACCACCACGCGUCCACGCCCCUCGUGCACCUUCUCGCCCGAGUCUGGUAACGGUGCAAAGGCAAAUGGGGCAUCAUCACAUAUCUAGGUCGUAUUUUCGACAGACAGAUGUAAAACGGAGUGGGAAUGCCUCGAUUGAUAUCAUGUCCAAGUUCUUCAAGCUGAUGGUGGUUCUACAAUUAAUGAAUGAUUUGAACGAAGUGUUCAAGAUGCCGCUAUCUCUUGUAUUGAGGGGCUUCCAGUGCGCUUUUUCCCCUCGAUCUCGUGUGAUCUGAGUGUGAGAAGGCUUAUAGUGUGCUUGAGGUUCUUCGACCUCUCUAUAAUUCCCCUAAGAUACUGGAACAAAAGGUAACUGUUGCGAUAUAUGUCAAUCUUCAAUUUCGUUGUCGCUUAGCAGUUGUUGGGCUUUGGUACCCAGUCUGUAAUUUUGCUGAUGCACCAGCGACACAUAUUUAUCAUUUUUUAUUUUUAAAUCAAUAACAAAGCACAGGUACAAUAUAAUCUUAUAUAGCUUUUAAGGUAUGUAAACAUCCACUUUAGUGAUGCUAACAAAUGUAUAAAAUAAUAAUAAUUAUUUUUUCAUAGCAAUAUAUUUUAUCAUAUUGCAUCUUAGUUCAUGCUACCUGGAUGUAAAUGUGGUGCGGUUUAGUUUAAUAAGAUCUUCACUAAUCACUACAUAGUGCAGCACUGGGCUGUUAAUAUUUUUUGUACCAUGUGUCAUAAGCAUGAGAUGUUGCCUGUAGAGUACCAAUGCUUUAUUGCAGUCUUCCUCCUCGUCUGCCCCAAUGUCGGCAAGUCAGCCCUCUUCAACAGGUGAGAGACACCUUAGGAAGGCAUCGGUCAUUGCCUCUCGCCUGUAGUUUCUAUGCCGCUAUGAGGGGUGGUGGCAUUUCCUCAAAUACGUUGCAUGUAUCACUGUAACUGUUCUUCCCCUUCCGUUACCAUUAACCCAUGCAUCUAAUUACUUGUAUAUUUUACGUUACCGUUUUCCUGUUCUCAACAUUUCAGAUUCUAGAUGAUGGUACGACAAAUUAUUUUAGGAGCGCUUUGACAUAAUUUAAAGCUUGGAAGGGAGCUUUCUAUGAUUUAUUUUUCUGAUUGUUUCGUCACAUGUUCUUUCCCUAGAUGAAAGUAUUGAUUUAUUUUUGGUUCUGCAGGAUCAUUGCGUCUCUGCGAGCUAAUCAGUUCUGUGAGCGUCUCCCUAGCCCCAAUGGCGAGUCAACUGUUGAUUGUCAUCAGAUCUCAAAGAUGCCAAAUCUUGCAUUCACCAUUGCAAACAAGACUUUCACCUUAACACCAGAGCAGUACAUAGUGAAGUUGGAGCAAGCAGGACAAACUAUCUGCAUCAAUGGGUUUAUGGCAUUUGACGUACCGCCUCCUCGUGGUCCUCUCUGCUACGCUAAACAUAUCUGUACUACUCUUAAGUGUGCAAUGAGGGCGUCCACCGAGGGCAUCACCGUGCCCCCGCUCGCCCCCUCCACGCCCGCGCCUGUCUGCAUCCGCCCCCUUCGUCUCCCCGCAAUGGCCGCGUCCCUACCUCAUGUCUACGACGACAACUAGCAUCGCCACAAGAGUUUGUUCUGGUGCUCACAUUGGUAAGUGUGGAACUUUCACCACAGGUUAAACAUGAAGAAGUCAUCGGGCUCGGGCUCGGUGUCGUUGGCGCGGAGCAUCCCGGAGCUGUACGAGGAGAGGGGAGCCAGCAACCUCCGGGAGUUCGGGUUCCAGGAGCUCCGGGCCGCCACCAGCGACUUCAGCCGCCUGCUCAAGGUCGGCGAGGUGGCUUCGGGAGCGUUUACAAGGGCGUCGUCCGCCUUCCUGGCGGGCCCGCCGGCGGCACGGUAGUUGCCAUAAAAAACUCAAUCCCAAUGGUCAUCAGAAGUUCAAGGUUAUCUCAUUCUGGCAUAUCUCAUUUGCCUGCUGAUGAAGUGAAGCCUUUGGUUAAAUAUGAUAAUGAUGAAGAUGCACACUCACCUGGUGGCCGUGGAAGGGGUCGUGGUGGUCGAGGCCGUGGGCGGGGCAGGGGCAGAGGUGGACGUGGAAAUGGGUUCAAUGAGUAUGCUGAUGCUGGUUGGGAAGACGAUCACGCCCCUGCAUAUAUGGGCAAUGGAUAUGCCCGCGGAAGAGGUCGCAGUUUCAGGGGCCGUGGUAGGAGAGGCGACGACGAUAACCAGCCUGAAUACCAACAUGUCGGAGGUUAUUUCAAGAAGAUCCAAUUGAACCAAAAAGUGGAAUAAAAUUUCCAACAUUUCUGGAAGACGACUCCAGUCCAUCUGCAGCGGUCCUUGUUGGGAUAGGUUUCAAAGGCAUGAGAGUGAUGAGGGUCAAAAAUCUGAACCUCUACGCUUUUGGUUUAUAUAUGCAACCAACUUCUAUCCGUGAGAAGUUGGGUCCUAAGUAUGCUUCAUUUCCAACUGACAAGCUGAUGGAGAACCCUGAUUUCUAUAGUAAUCUUCUCAGGAAAUGGGUUCAAUGAGUAUGAUGAUGCUGGUUGGGAAGACGAUCACUCCCCUGCAUAUAUGGGCAAUGGAUAUGCCCGUGGAAGAGGUCGCAGUUUCAGGGGCCGUGGUAGGAGAGGCGGCGACAAUAACCAGCCUGAAUACCAACAGGUCGGAGGUUAUUACGAGUGUUCAUGCUCCAGCUUUAGGUGGGUAACCUCACAGGACACAAAUGAAGUGUACAAAAUAUUUUCAAACAAAAUUAAGCAAGGCCUGAAGAUAAUCUGAAGAGCUUUGUACAGGCGAUUUUUGAUCAUUGUUGAUCCUGAUUCCUGAUUCUUUUAUUUUUUUCAACAACAGAUUUUCACCAUUUGUAAUGGAACUGAAACCAGCCUCUCAUCGAAGUGGAAACCUUUUUUUAGUCGUAAACAUUUACAUGGUUUAUCCAGUGGUAUGCUGAUGAAAGAUGCUAAGUUUCGCUUAAUAUAAUGUAUAUGAAGGUCCUGUGUA